rnacentral:rRNA from 1 species
GUGGGGAAUAUUGGACAAUGGGCGAAAGCCUGAUCCAGCCAUGCCGCGUGUGUGAAGAAGGUCUUCGGAUUGUAAAGCACUUUAAGUUGGGAGGAAGGGCAGUAAGUUAAUACCUUGCUGUUUUGACGUUACCGACAGAAUAAGCACCGGCUAACUUCGUGCCAGCAGCCGCGGUAAUACGAAGGGUGCAAGCGUUAAUCGGAAUUACUGGGCGUAAAGCGCGCGUGGGUGGUUUUGUAAGUUGGAGGUGAAAUCCCCGGGCUCAACCUGGGAACUGCCUCCAAAACUGCAUGACUAGAGUACGGUAGAGGGUAGUGGAAUUUCCUGUGUAGCGGUGAAAUGCGUAGAUAUAGGAAGGAACACCAGUGGCGAAGGCGACUACCUGGACUGAUACUGACACUGAGGUGCGAAAGCGUGGGGAGCAAACAGGAUUAGAAACCCCUGUAGUCC